AAAUAGAUACCCUGGUAGUCCACCCCGUAAACGUUGGGAACUAGUUGUGGGGUCCAUUCCACGGAUUCCGUGACGCAGCUAACGCAUUAAGUUCCCCGCCUGGGGAGUACGGCCGCAAGGCUAAAACUCAAAGGAAUUGACGGGGACCCGCACAAGCGGCGGAGCAUGCGGAUUAAUUCGAUGCAACGCGAAGAACCUUACCAAGGCUUGACAUACACCAGAACACCCUGGAAACAGGGGACUCUUUGGACACUGGUGAACAGGUGGUGCAUGGUUGUCGUCAGCUCGUGUCGUGAGAUGUUGGGUUAAGUCCCGCAACGAGCGCAACCCUCGUUCUAUGUUGCCAGCACGUUAUGGUGGGAACUCAUGGGAUACUGCCGGGGUCAACUCGGAGGAAGGUGGGAUGACGUCAAAUCAUCAUGCCCCUUAUGUCUUGGGCUUCACGCAUGCUACAAUGGCCGGUACAAAGGGCUGCAAUACCGUGAGUGAGCGAAUCCCAAAAAGCCGGUCCAGUUCGGAUUGAGGUCUGCAACUCGA
rnacentral:rRNA from 1 species